rnacentral:rRNA from 1 species
AUUGAACGCUGGCGGCAGGCCUAACACAUGCAAGUCGAACGGUAACAGGAAGAAGCUUGCUUCUUGCUGACGAGUGGCGGACGGGUGAGUAAUGUCUGGGAAACUGCCUGAUGGAGGGGGAUAACUACUGGAAACGGUAGCUAAUACCGCAUAACGUCGCAAGACCAAAGAGGGGGACCUUCGGGCCUCUUGCCAUCGGAUGUGCCCAGAUGGGAUUAGCUAGUAGGUGGGGUAACGGCUCACCUAGGCGACGAUCCCUAGCUGGUCUGAGAGGAUGACCAGCCACACUGGAACUGAGACACGGUCCAGACUCCUACGGGAGGCAGCAGUGGGGAAUAUUGCACAAUGGGCGCAAGCCUGAUGCAGCCAUGCCGCGUGUAUGAAGAAGGCCUUCGGGUUGUAAAGUACUUUCAGCGGGGAGGAAGGGAGUAAAGUUAAUACCUUUACUCAUUGACGUUACCCGCAGAAGAAGCACCGGCUAACUCCGUG